rnacentral:rRNA from 1 species
GCCAACGACCAUACUACGUAGGAACUACUGGUUCUCGUUCGAUCACCAAAGUCAAGCUACGUCGGGCACGGUUAGUACUUGGAUGGGUGACCGCUUGGGAACACCGUGUGUUGUUGGUU